CCUANGGGGGGCAGCAGCAAGGGAUAUUGCGCAAUGGGCGAAAGCCUGACGCAGCGACACCGCGUGAGGGAUGAAGGCCUUCGGGUCGUAAACCUCUUUUAUUGGUGAAGAGUAAGGACGGUAGCCAGUGAAUAAGCCCCGGCUAACUACGUGCCAGCAGCCGCGGUAAUACGUAGGGGGCGAGCGUUAUCCGGAUUUACUGGGCGUAAAGAGCGCGUAGGCGGCUUCUUAAGUUGGCAGUGAAAGAUUCCGGCUCAACUGGGAUUCGUCUGUCAAUACUGAAGAGCUUGAGGGCACCAGAGGAAAGUGGAACUCGCGGUGUAGCGGUGAAAUGUGUAGAUAUCGCGAGGAACACCAGUGGCGAAGGCGGCUUUCUGGGGUGUUCCUGACGCUGAGGCGCGAAAGCGUGGGGAGCGAAGCGGAUUAGAUACCCCGNUANUC
rnacentral:rRNA from 1 species